rnacentral:rRNA from 1 species
GUCCAGACUCCUACGGGAGGCAGCAGUGGGGAAUAUUGCACAAUGGGGGAAACCCUGAUGCAGCGACGCCGCGUGAGCGAUGAAGUAUUUCGGUAUGUAAAGCUCUAUCAGCAGGGAAGAAAAUGACGGUACCUGACUAAGAAGCCCCGGCUAACUACGUGCCAGCAGCCGCGGUAAUACGUAGGGGGCAAGCGUUAUCCGGAUUUACUGGGUGUAAAGGGAGCGUAGACGGCUGUGCAAGCCAGAUGUGAAAGCCCGGGGCUCAACCCCGGGACUGCAUUUGGAACUGUGUGGCUGGAGUGUCGGAGAGGCGGGCGGAAUUUCUAGUGUAGCGGUGAAAUGCGUAGAUAUUAGGAAGAACGCCAGUGGCGAAGGCGGCUUGCUGGACAGUAACUGACGUUGAGGCUCGAAAGCGUGGGGAGCAAACAGGAUUAGAUACCCUUGUA